UCAAAUUUGAAAUCUGGCACCUUCGGUGUCCGAGUUGUAAUUUGAAGAAGGUAACUUUGGAGUCAGCUCUUGUCUAUGUUCCUUGGAACAGGACGUCACAGAGGGUGAGAAUCCCGUGCGAUGAGAUGUCUGAUUCUAUGUAAAGUGCUUUCGAAGAGUCGAGUUGUUUGGGAAUGCAGCUCUAAGUGGGUGGUAAAUUCCAUCUAAAGCUAAAUAUUGGCGAGAGACCGAUAGCGAACAAGUACAGUGAUGGAAAGAUGAAAAGAACUUUGAAAAGAGAGUGAAAAAGUACGUGAAAUUGUUGAAAGGGAAGGGUUUGAGAUCAGACUUGGUAUUUUGUAUGUCUUGCUUUCGGGUGGGGCCUCUACAGUUUACUGGGCCAGCAUCGGUUUGGACGGUAGGAUAAUGACAUUGGAAUGUGGCACCACUUCGGUGGUGUGUUAUAGACUUUGUUGAUACUGCCUGUCUAGACCGAGGACUGCGUCUUUGACUAGGAUGCUGGCAUAAUGAUCUUAAACCGCCC
rnacentral:rRNA from 1 species